AAAUUGAAGAGUUUGAUCAUGGCUCAGAUUGAACGCUGGCGGCAGGCCUAACACAUGCAAGUCGAGCGGUAGCACAGAGAGCUUGCUCUCGGGUGACGAGCGGCGGACGGGUGAGUAAUGUCUGGGAAACUGCCUGAUGGAGGGGAUAACUACUGGAAACGGUAGCUAAUACCGCAUAACGUCGCAAGACCAAAGUGGGGGACCUUCGGGCCUCAUGCCAUCAGAUGUGCCCAGAUGGGAUUAGCUAGUAGGUGGGGUAACGGCUCACCUAGGCGACGAUCCCUAGCUGGUCUGAGAGGAUGACCAGCCACACUGGAACUGAGACACGGUCCAGACUCCUACGGGAGGCAGCAGUGGGGAAUAUUGCACAAUGGGCGCAAGCCUGAUGCAGCCAUGCCGCGUGUGUGAAGAAGGCCUUCGGGUUGUAAAGCACUUUCAGCGGGGAGGAAGGCGGUGAGGUUAAUAACCUCAUCGAUUGACGUUACCCGCAGAAGAAGCACCGGCUAACUCCGUGCCAGCAGCCGCGGUAAUACGGAGGGUGCAAGCGUUAAUCGGAAUUACUGGGCGUAAAGCGCACGCAGGCGGUCUGUCAAGUCGGAUGUGAAAUCCCCGGGCUUAACCUGGGAACUGCAUUCGAAACUGGCAGGCUAGAGUCUUGUAGAGGGGGUAGAAUUCCAGGUGUAGCGGUGAAAUGCGUAGAGAUCUGGAGGAAUACCGGUGGCGAAGGCGGCCCCCUGGACAAAGACUGACGCUCAGGUGCGAAAGCGUGGGGAGCAAACAGGAUUAGAUACCCUGGUAGUCCACGCCGUAAACGAUGUCGAUUUGGAGGUUGUGCCCUUGAGGCGUGGCUUCCGGAGCUAACGCGUUAAAUCGACCGCCUGGGGAGUACGGCCGCAAGGUUAAAACUCAAAUGAAUUGACGGGGGCCCGCACAAGCGGUGGAGCAUGUGGUUUAAUUCGAUGCAACGCGAAGAACCUUACCUGGUCUUGACAUCCACAGAACUUUCCAGAGAUGGAUUGGUGCCUUCGGGAACUGUGAGACAGGUGCUGCAUGGCUGUCGUCAGCUCGUGUUGUGAAAUGUUGGGUUAAGUCCCGCAACGAGCGCAACCCUUAUCCUUUGUUGCCAGCGGUCCGGCCGGGAACUCAAAGGAGACUGCCAGUGAUAAACUGGAGGAAGGUGGGGAUGACGUCAAGUCAUCAUGGCCCUUACGACCAGGGCUACACACGUGCUACAAUGGCAUAUACAAAGAGAAGCGACCUCGCGAGAGCAAGCGGACCUCAUAAAGUAUGUCGUAGUCCGGAUUGGAGUCUGCAACUCGACUCCAUGAAGUCGGAAUCGCUAGUAAUCGUAGAUCAGAAUGCUACGGUGAAUACGUUCCCGGGCCUUGUACACACCGCCCGUCACACCAUGGGAGUGGGUUGCAAAAGAAGUAGGUAGCUUAACCUUCGGGAGGGCGCUUACCACUUUGUGAUUCAUGACUGGGGUGAAGUCGUAACAAGGUAACCGUAGGGGAACCUGCGGUUGGAUCACCUCCUUACCUUAAAGAA
rnacentral:rRNA from 1 species